rnacentral:misc_RNA from 1 species
CUGUAAAGCCAAUCUUUGUGCACAACAAUAGAAUUGAUUGGCUUGUUUUGAAUCCUCCAACUCUUUAUUGGUGGUUUGAUCUCUCUCUCCUUAUUGUUUGCAGUGGCUACUUCCUGAAAAGGUAAUGUGUCUUCGUACUUUUCCAAUUUUCUCGCAAAUUUGUAUGAAAAGAGGCUUAUAAAAACCAACUAACUGAUAGAGAGAUAUAUAACUAUUCUUGGAGAAUUCAUCUAUAAGCUUAAGCUUUUAGAUUAAGUGGUUCAUUGACAUGGUAUCAGAGCUUCUCAGACCAAAAGAUCCAGAGUUUAAAUCCUGGCCAGCCCCAUUUAUUAGUUGAAUAUUUUAACACAAAGUGACCCUGCGCUUGUUCACGCUUCAAGCCUAGUGGGCUUUCGCGUGCAGGGGCAUAAUGGAGAGAUAUAGAACUAUUAUUGGAGCCCUCAUCUA